CCUGGCUCAGGACGAACGCUGGCGGCGUGCUUAACACAUGCAAGUCGAACGGAAAGGCCCUGCUUUUGUGGGGUGCUCGAGUGGCGAACGGGUGAGUAACACGUGAGUAACCUGCCCUUGACUUUGGGAUAACUUCAGGAAACUGGGGCUAAUACCGGAUAGGAGCUCCUGCUGCAUGGUGGGGGUUGGAAAGUUUCGGCGGUUGGGGAUGGACUCGCGGCUUAUCAGCUUGUUGGUGGGGUAGUGGCUUACCAAGGCUUUGACGGGUAGCCGGCCUGAGAGGGUGACCGGCCACAUUGGGACUGAGAUACGGCCCAGACUCCUACGGGAGGCAGCAGUGGGGAAUAUUGCACAAUGGGCGGAAGCCUGAUGCAGCAACGCCGCGUGCGGGAUGACGGCCUUCGGGUUGUAAACCGCUUUCGCCUGUGACGAAGCGUGAGUGACGGUAAUGGGUAAAGAAGCACCGGCUAACUACGUGCCAGCAGCCGCGGUGAUACGUAGGGUGCGAGCGUUGUCCGGAUUUAUUGGGCGUAAAGGGCUCGUAGGUGGUUGAUCGCGUCGGAAGUGUAAUCUUGGGGCUUAACCCUGAGCGUGCUUUCGAUACGGGUUGACUUGAGGAAGGUAGGGGAGAAUGGAAUUCCUGGUGGAGCGGUGGAAUGCGCAGAUAUCAGGAGGAACACCAGUGGCGAAGGCGGUUCUCUGGGCCUUUCCUGACGCUGAGGAGCGAAAGCGUGGGGAGCGAACAGGCUUAGAUACCCUGGUAGUCCACGCUGUAAACGGUGGGUACUAGGUGUGGGGUCCAUUCCACGGGUUCCGUGCCGUAGCUAACGCUUUAAGUACCCCGCCUGGGGAGUACGGCCGCAAGGCUAAAACUCAAAGGAAUUGACGGGGCCCCGCACAAGCGGCGGAGCAUGCGGAUUAAUUCGAUGCAACGCGUAGAACCUUACCUGGGUUUGACAUGGAUCGGGAGUGCUCAGAGAUGGGUGUGCCUCUUUUGGGGUCGGUUCACAGGUGGUGCAUGGCUGUCGUCAGCUCGUGUCGUGAGAUGUUGGGUUAAGUCCCGCAACGAGCGCAACCCUUGUUCACUGUUGCCAGCACGUUAUGGUGGGGACUCAGUGGAGACCGCCGGGGUCAACUCGGAGGAAGGUGGGGAUGACGUCAAGUCAUCAUGCCCCUUAUGUCCAGGGCUUCACGCAUGCUACAAUGGCUGGUACAGAGAGUGGCGAGCCUGUGAGGGUGAGCGAAUCUCGGAAAGCCGGUCUCAGUUCGGAUUGGGGUCUGCAACUCGACCUCAUGAAGUCGGAGUCGCUAGUAAUCGCAGAUCAGCAACGCUGCGGUGAAUACGUUCCCGGGGCUUGUACACACCGCCCGUCAAGUCAUGAAAGUUGGUAACACCCGAAGCCGGUGGCCUAA
rnacentral:rRNA from 1 species